UACAGAGGGUGCUAGCGUUGUUCGGAAUCAUUGGGCGUAAAGGGCGUGUAGGCGGUUUGUUAAGUCAUGUGUGAAAUCCCUCGGCUCAACCGGGGAACGACGCAUGAAACUGGCAAGCUAGAGUACCAAAGAGGGGGGUGGAAUUCCCGGUGUAGCGGUGAAAUGCGUAGAUAUCAGGAGGAAUACCGGUGGCGAAGGCGGUCAUCUGGCUCGUAACUGACGCUCAGGCACGAAAGUGUGGGUAGCAAACAGG
rnacentral:rRNA from 1 species